rnacentral:rRNA from 1 species
AUUGAACGCUGGCGGCAGGCUUAACACAUGCAAGUCGAGCGAGCGGCGGACGGGUGAGUAAUGUCUGGGAAACUGCCUGAGGGAGGGGGAUAACUACUGGAAACGGUAGCUAAUACCGCAUACCAUCAGAUGUGCCCAGAUGGGAUUAGCUAGUAGGUGGGGUAAUGGAUCACCUAGGCGACGAUCCCUAGCUGGUCUGAGAGGAUGACCAGCAACACUGGAAUGGAGACACGGUCCAGACGCCUACGGGAGGCAGCAGUGGGGAAUAUUGCACAAUGGGCGCAAGCCUGAUGCAGCCAUGCCGCGUGUGUGAAGAAGGCCUUCGGGUUGUAAAGCACUUUCAGCGAGGAGGCGUUACUCGCAGAAGAAGCACCGGCUAACUCCGUGCCAGCAGCCGCGGUAAUUC